AUUCCUUUCUCGGCCUUUUGGCUAAGAUCAAGUGUAGUAUCUGUUCUUAUUAGUUUAAUAUUUGAUAUGUGGGUUACUUGACUCACAUGGUAUUAACUUGAUUUUUUAAGGGGGAAGGCUCACUAUGGUAGCUUGCUAUUGGGGCCUUCAAGUGUCGCCUUGAUGUUGCACUAUUGCCUUGGCCUGGCACACCCUAC